ensembl:lncRNA
AAAAAAAAAGGAAAAAGUAGGUAAAGAAUAUAAAUUGGUUUGGGUGAGGGACAAAGAACGUUUUAUGUUAUAAAGCACAUUAAGAGCCACUUUCUCCAGACUGGCUAAGAGCAGGGAAGUGGAACAGUCCAGCCGCUCUGGGAAAACUACUUAACCUCCCAUGGUUAAAUACAGCUCCGGCUGCAUGUCCCUGCAGGUCUCCUCCAGCGUUAGAGAUUCAGCUGACAGCAAAUUGAAGCCUUCUACAAACUCAGUGGCCCCGGACGCUGCCGCACAGAAGAGGCUGUUGUUUUUGUUCUGUGCUGAAAGAGUCCUGGUUGCUGGCCUGUGAAGUCAUGUGAAGGGUGAAAGAGCAGGUGCACGUGCGUGUGACGGCGCCGAUGCCAAAGUGAUUGAUAACUCUCCUCUCCAAGCCGAGCUCGGUGUCAGCCUCCUCGGGCCUGUAUAAUGCCAGGUUGCCAUGGUUACCCCAGCACUUCAUACAAGGAAAUAGAGGAAAAAAAAAAAAUGGAAAGACUUUCUCCUCCUCUCCUUUCUGAAAGCCUCUCGCUGAGCUUUCCUGGGGAGUUGAGAGGAGAGUGCUGACCUGCGUGUUGCAUCGAAUGAAAAAUCUGGGGAACAGAGAGCAAAAGUUAAGGUGCUUCUUUAAGCACAAACUCCUACUCUUCCCCCUUUGAUGUAGAACGGAGGCUGAGCUGAUUACUACUGCAAACUCAUUUUCAUCCCUAUUAGAGCAACUAAUUUCCAUCUCCACUACAUUAUCACUGAGUGCGUGCCAGAGGUGGCUUUGAUUUCUGCACUGCUCUUUGCAAGAAUGACCUCUAGUGGUUCAAAACCAAAUAAAAGUGUCUCUGACUCACACCGAACCUGUUUUGAAACAUGUCUGGAUGAUGAAGGAUGUCACCCUCUUGUUUUUUUUUUUUCCUUGGCAAUGAUGCUGAAAGAGGGAAUGUAAUCUAACAUGCACACUGCUGUAUUUACAUAAACCCUGCUCAUCCUUCCAGUACCAUCAGACUCGUACUUGGAGACAGAAGUUAAUCUUUUUAUAUAGAGAGUUGUGGUUUGAGCUGAGACGGAGCAGGAGUAAACAGGAUGAGACGCCCGCAGGGGUGAGGGUUUAGUUUCUACAACCACCCACUUAGAGCCACUGUAUCGUCUGAUGAAGGCCACAGCAUGGCCCAGAUUCCACUUAUGAAAAGCUGUUUUUUAAGACUGGAGGUCUUUGAUUGAGACCCAUUCAUUCCUUAUCAUUGUGCUGUCAAAAUGCUUAGAAGACUAAAAAUGCUGAUGCUUUUUUUUUUUUCAUGUGAAUUACACCAGUAUGAGUUAAUAUGCUCUAACUGGGUGCAAAGGAUGGUCUAGUUGCAGUAAUGGGAACUGAUGGAUGGCUGACCUACUUUGGCCAUUUUACGCCCUGUAAAAGCUGACCCCAACAGGCACAGGAAGCAGCCAUUAGUGCUGGUGAAAUAGUAACAAUAAAGAAAAAAAAAAAAACAUUCAUUCUCCCAGGGCCAAAUGCAAAUUAAUUUUUUUUAAUGAAUAAUUAUAUGCCUGAAAAUGAAUGUCAGUUUUGAAUAGGUGCCAAUAUAAUGUUAUGAGAUGGACAAUGUUUUACAACCUUCAGUUCUUUUAUUGUAUUAAAGCUUGUUGCCUUGAAAAUACACCGUGUGUGAAGAUUUGACACAGAGGGUAGAUGAAAUCCUGCGCUUGACAAAAUAAAAUAAGUUCACAAAACCUGCUACAAAACAGACAAUUUCACUUGGCAGUUAGUAUUUUUCUUAACUCUUUUUCUCCUGUAUACAGUUUAUUCAUCAUAAAACUAAAGGUCAUGCAGUAUUAGAAUGUUUACUUUAACUACAUUUUUACUUUACUAUUUUGAGAUUCAUGUAAUUGACUUGGUUAGUAUUUGAUGCUACUUUUCACCUGCACUUCACUGAGUAAACUAUUACCGUUUUACUCUUGAAAACAGCUGACUGCUCUGGAAACUGCACAGAUAAAUGAAAUGAGAGUGAACCAAAGUAAAGUUAGAGACAUAAAAAAAAAAAAAAAAUCCAAACAAUGAGCUGAAAGGUGUUAAAAAGCUCCGCAGAUCUCAGGGGAGCUGCAGCGUCACAUUAUCAAUCUCCUUGUCAGUAUGUGCAACACCUUUAAUUACACCCAGUCAUUGUUAACAUAUAAGAAUAAUAAUUAUCUGUAAAUAAAGGAUCUAAAUUCUAAGGAUCUAACCCAGUACUGGUGCACCUGCCGUGUUUGGGUGCAGGUGACGUACCCCCUUUUGAAGAUCUGCUUUGUCUCAUGUUGCAUUAAAACCUCACAUUUCAUCCAGCAACUGCUUCUAAUUGGCUCUGACUCUAAUAUGAACCAGCUUUAUCUGCACUAUUGUAAUUGGGAUUUUGUUUCUUUUGUCUCAGCGGCUCUUCUCCUCCUGGUUUGACUAUAGCCAGCAGAGGGCAAUAAGGUGACUCAAGCCUAACGACAUAUAAGUGACCUGUGAAAAGUAUUUAAUCCUUCUUUACCUCAUUGAUAAUCUGCUCCAAAAGAAACACUGGUCCCUGCUGUGGAAACUGCCUUGGAUGCUGAAAGACUCUGAUAAAAGUCCUGGAUUACUUAAAGUCUUUUUUUAAAAAUGUCACAUCUGCCCCCGGGGGCCUACGUGACAUUUUUAUAUUUAGUAAAGCUCAUUAGGUGAGUCAUGUUUCAACACUGUUGGCCGCAUGACAUGAUGCAGGUAGAAUCCAAAACGUCAUAAAUACAAACAUGCCGAGCAUCAGUUCACAGACUACAUGAGCUACUCAUCCAGUUAAUGUACAAUUGCAGAUGAUGAAAUAAAUCUGGUGACUCAGGGGCAGGUAAAAAAGCCAAGGUCUAAAUUCAACUGUUAAAUUGCUUCAUAUGUGACCACUUCACCAGAAAGGUAACGUGAGUCACCAGUUUACCAGUUUACUGAAUGAGAUGAGCAGUGACUCAACGUGACUCGUCCUGAGCGUCCUGUCGACACACAUCCCUGCAGCUGAACUUGUUGCAAAAUCGCCUGCAGUUACAAAAAAAAAAGACCAAGUCACCAAAACAGCAUCUUAUCUGCUGCUUUUCUGUCUUAAGCUGUAGAAAGAAAGAAGCAGCUCACCAGA